rnacentral:lncRNA from 10 species
CAUUAGUGGAUGGACAAAAGAGCUUCAGCUUUAGAAAACUUAUUCUUAGGACAAAUGCAAAAUUGAAUCCCAGAUAAAAGAAUACACAAGAUAGGCAGUAUAAAUAAACACCAGCGUGAUAGACUGAAUACCAGCAUUAACAAUGUGGUCAUUGGAAUGUGGAAGGGAGUAGGUAAUUUUUAACAAAUGUAGACCAACUAUCUCACCAAAUAUAUAACAUACGAGACAAGAAGACUGGUAUAUAUAUACAUAUAUAUGUAUAUGUAUAUAUAUCUUCUUGUCUCAUAUAUAUAUGAUAUAUAUAUGUCUUCUUGUCCCAU